UGGGGAAUAUUGCACAAUGGGCGCAAGCCUGAUGCAGCCAUGCCGCGUGUGUGAAGAAGGCCUUCGGGUUGUAAAGCACUUUCAGUGGGGAGGAAGGCGGUGAGGUUAAUAACCUCAUCGAUUGACGUUACCCGCAGAAGAAGCACCGGCUAACUCCGUGCCAGCAGCCGCGGUAAUACGGAGGGUGCAAGCGUUAAUCGGAAUUACUGGGCGUAAAGCGCACGCAGGCGGUCUGUCAAGUCGGAUGUGAAAUCCCCGGGCUCAACCUGGGAACUGCAUUCGAAACUGGCAGGCUAGAGUCUCGUAGAGGGGGGUAGAAUUCCAGGUGUAGCGGUGAAAUGCGUAGAGAUCUGGAGGAAUACCGGUGGCGAAGGCGGCCCCCUGGACGAAGACUGACGCUCAGGUGCGAAAGCGUGGGGAGCAAACAGG
rnacentral:rRNA from 1 species